CACGUAGGGGGCUAGCGUUGUCCGGAUUUAUUGGGCGUAAAGAGCGUGUAGGCGGCCAGGUAGGUCUGGUGUGAAAACUCGAGGCUUAACCUCGAGAUGUCAUCGGAAACCAUCUGGCUGGAGUCCGGAAGAGGAGAGUGGAAUUCCUGGUGUAGCGGUGAAAUGCGCAGAUAUCAGGAAGAACACCAAUGGCGAAAGCAGCUCUCUGGGACGGUACUGACGCUGAGACGCGAAAGCGUGGGGAGCGAACAGG
rnacentral:rRNA from 1 species